GUUUUAUAUUUUUAUUAUUUUAUUGUUUCCCUUCUACGUGGUGACUUUACCGAAAGAACCAGGAAUAUAGGCCAUAUGCUGUCUUUCGUGUUCUUAAAUUCACUUCUCCGAAAGCAUCCCUCGUCUUGUCCAACCCCUCGUGACAUUUUAAAUUCCGAGAUACGAGUCGAACAAAAGUCACGCGCAACAAGUUUGCUGAGCAAAAUAAAACGACUGUUGGAGGGACGCAACUUGAAACGAGUUGUUUUCCUCCUAGCAGUUCACGAGACAAUGACAUUUAAGGAAACGCAUCUUAGUGAUGUGUAAUUUUUGAACGAAUACCAUUUCCUAAAUUGAUGAUGCAUGCACCAAAAUGUUUAUUUAAAAAUACUUUUUUUCAAUUUGUAUAUGUUGCGCGUGACAGGUUUACAUGACGCCUGGAGCUAUUGGUGUGGCCGCUAUAUUCACAACAUAAAUAUUUUUGCGAUGAUUUUGAUAUGUAUCGCGACCCUGAAUUGCAAACAUUACAUUUCCCAUGGGAGUGAAUCGUUGCACCCCUAAUCGAUACUACGGCACACGAUUCAAUUCAAUAAAUUGCCCAAUCUCAGGUUUACCCGCAGGACAUAUUAAGCCAGCUUUGUUUUUUGUAAUUCUGUACUUGCCAAUGAAACAGUAGGUGCUGUGCGAAUGGACUGGCACGGGAACAGGUUCACUGAAUGUGUCGGUAAAGAUGAAUCCUAAAUGAUUGACAGCGGUUAUAGAUGAUUGUUAUACUUCAACUCUUUCGUCGAGUGGCAUUAAAUGCCUUGAAUUUUUCGCAUUGUACUCAAAAUUACAGUGAUCUCAACCGGCCAGGCAUGCGGCUCAGCGGCAUAUAGAGAGCAAAUUACAAUCGGUAGGUUGCGAGUUUUAUAUCCUGUUUGGGUUUUGAUUCACCAAAUCUAUUCAGCUAAACUCUUAUACUAUAUAUAUUUUUUAUCAGGUAAGGCCCACUGAGCCAUAUAGCUAUUUUUUCAGAAGUGACCUGGCAAUAAAUGAUAGCUAAACAAAGUGGCUUUGUGUUUCUAAAUGUGGAGGGGAAAAUCACAGGACUCGGGAGAAAAAUCCACGCGACCACAAGGAGAACAUACAAACUCCAAAUAUGCAGCAGGUGUCAGGCGAGAUAGUUAACAUCUCACCACUGUGGCGAAAUGUUUAUCUGGGGCCGAUAAAACAAAUACCACUUUAUGGGGAAGCCAAGAGCGGCUGUCCUAUGGAUGGACUCACGCCCGCCAUUGGAAUGUGGAAUUUCCAUCACUGGCUCAGGGCUGUAAACGGGAGAUGAGCAACGCCACAAUGCUUACUGGAGCAAGCUACACUUUUUUUACAUUUACGUGAGCUCUGUAUUGUUCACUUUGGUCUCCGGUUAAUUUCCAUCUCUGCAGUUUUCCGUCGUGGCAGUGUGCCAGACUUGUCAGCCCACGCAAACUUAUAAUGUAGGAAAUUCUACCUGCUCGGAGUAGGUUUUCAUGAAGAUGGCUUUGUGCUGUUUGGCCAAUAAGCUGUGCCAACCGUUGACUUUAAUAAUCCAAUGUGCGCACUGCUCCAUUUUAGUUGUGCAACAAAUAAGUUGACCCUGUUUGUGCUGUUUGCAGACACGCGUGUUGCCAUUAUACACAAGAUUCCAUUGACUGAAUAUAUUGCUGUUCGUUAGAUGUUGUCAUUUACCACAGUUUACCUGGGAAAAAAAUAUAAAUAUAAACGUGUUUAGGUACACUGCAUUAUAAAGUUGUUGGUCAUCGUGAUAAUCUAUUCCACUCUUAAAAUACUCGAGACGUAUUUCUCCCAUAUGCUGCCGCGAGGGUCCUUUACCGAGUGCGGAUCGAUGACCGAAGAGUCGCCACGCGCAGAUGCACGGCCCUACAAGUUCCAACGCAGAAGGAAAACCUCCGCUUUGCAGGUGGAGUGUUCGACGUGGGUGAGGAGCGGACAACUCAAUUCCAUUUCUGAUCUGAAAUUAAACGCUGCAUUGAAUCUACCGAGGAGGACAAGUGGAGUACAAUUGGACAUGAAAGGUUUUCAUACGGAGCACAAUGCAAGACGUCUCUGAUUUCCACAUUUCGAUGACGUGCAUGCCCAGGUGCAGCGCAAAGCCAUUCCGCGGCAAUGCUCUCUUCCAGCUUUUAAAGCAAUUAGUAUCCAAGACUCGAACACGGCAAAGCCUGGAUGAGCGACUCCUCUGAAAAGUCACCCACAGGCAAGAAGACAUGAGAAAUUGCCCCGGGUCAAAGGUCAUCGUAGCGUGCCAAGCACCCCCAAACACGCCGCGAUCAAGCUCUCCGACGUGCGCACGCACAUCCGCGCGUGUUCUUAUUGCAAGUGCCUGUUUUAAUGUUCACGAAGCGUCACAUGUAUGUAGAUUGGUUUAAUACAUAUUCCAUCAAGGUCCCUAAGAUCAUCUGAUCUCCAAAUGCUCAGCACUCCCAGGUCUCUAGGUUGCGCUCUUUCGGCGAUCGGGCUUUUGUUAGCGUGGCACCCAAACUAUGGGACGCUUUGCCACUUGAAAUCAGGCAAUCGGAGUCGGUAGAUAGAUUCAAGUCUGCUUUGAAAACCCCAUCUCUUUAUAAAGUGGCCUUCCCACUUUAGUUUGGUCGGUUGCCCUGGUUCUGUUUUUGUUUCCUGCUUUCCACGCAUUGGGCAUUGGGAUCCUAAGCUGGAAUGCUAAUUAUACAUUUUAAUUAUUAUUAUGUACGUUCAACUUCUUUCGCGCCGUACGUUCCCAACUGUGCUAAGUAAUAGCGCACGUGUGCUAUUGCUUAGCACAUGAAGCAAUACACGAUCACUCCGCGAUGAAGAAGGGCCGUUGCCCAAAAGCGAAGUAAAGUUACAUAUAUCAUACAUUUAUUUCCAGGGCAAUGUUGACAAAUGUGUUGCACUAUUGUUAUUUGCGCUUACGCACCACUGCCAAGGCACUAUCACAAGACACGUUAAAUACAAUACAAGUAUCACUUCAUUGAUCAAGCAGAUAUGAACGUAUCCUGCGGAUAAAACGCACUUUUCCUCAUUUAUUUUCAAGCAAAAGUUGUGGGUACGUCUUACGAUCCAGUAGACGUAUGUGUGUGUGUGUGUGGGUAGCGGUAGUGUAGUGGUUAGCGUGCUGUG